UUCUACCGAGUGGCUAUUCCAACUUAAAAUGUCAGAGAGGCUAAAAAAUGAUAAGACAUCAUCCAAUAGACACGUGGCUGCAAAUCAGGAAAAAGGGGAGCAGUUAUGAUUAACAGAACCAAGCAAAUGAUGUAUGCACCUCGCAGCAGCAAGCACAGACACCAACAGACCAUGAGACUCAACUCAAGGCAUCUCGCGAUGUAAGGUGGCAAAUGUGUAUCACUGGAUCAUAUAAUAAAAUCAUUUGUUCCUAUUGAUUGGGUUCUUCUGUUCAGAAUCCGUUAAAUUUUGGUAGUGGUCACAUGAAUGGAUUUUUUAAUGCAACUGCAAUAAUUUUGAUUUGACCAAUAACCAUUUUGUUCCCUAGUUCUUAUUACCUUCUAAGAGUUGAAGGGCUUAACAGAUGAACCAAAAUAAUUGAAAUAUUUGUCCAACUGGCACAUCCCAGUAACUUCAUUGGUUACUCGACUUAGUAUUUUCUAACUCAGAUUUAUGUGCCUUCAUUUAAUUAUUGAAGUUUUAAAAUGUUGUUCUGGGGUGCAACUCUUUUUCAAUUGUACAUUUUGAGAUGGUUUUACCUGGUAAAGAAUUCUGUGCAUAUAAAUGCAAAUUACCGUUCCUGUCAUUUUUCCCAGCAGGAAGGUGUUCACAUAUAUCCUAUUUUUUGAGUUAUCAUUAUAGUCUUGGCUUCAUUGGUUACUCGACUCGGUAUUUUCUAACUCAGAUUUAUGUGCCUUCAUUUUGUUAUUGAAGUUUUACAACGUUGCUCUGGGCACGACUCUUUUUCAAUUGCCCAUUUGGAGAUGGUUUUACCUGGUAAAGAAUUCUGUGCAUAUAAAUGAAAAUUACUGUUCCUGUCAUUUUUCCCAGCAGGAAGGUGUUCACAUAUAUCCUGUUUAGUCUUUUGAGUUAUUUUUAUAGUCUUUGGCUUUCUAUUUGUAUCUUUUCUGCUGGUGGCCUUUCUUUUGUGAUAGGUUGCAAUGGCAAUGGCUACCAAAGCCAAGCUGCUCCUACAAGAGCUGAAAACAAUAAAAGCAGAUCUGGCUUUUGCAAAGGAGUGAUGUGCUCAGCUAGAACAGGAGAAUAGAAUUCUCAGGGAGAGUCUUGAGAAGGGGAAUAGUCCAGAGGAUGAUGAUCUAGUGGGCAUUACCCCCCCCCCCCCGGGCCGGCUCCAAAGAAGAUUAACAAAUUCAAUUUAGAGAAAAGCAUUACUCUCGUGGUUCUGAUUGCUAUGAAUGCAAUUUUUUUAAUUUAUUUAACUCUGUGAUGUAUUUCUAUGAUUUUUUAUUUAUAAAUAUUGUCUGAAUUUUUGAUCGUCAAAUGAGUUCGUGUUUGCCAUAUGAUCAUUCAAGCAGAUCUUGUAAAACAUACCAAUCUUACUUGUACCAUUGAUCAAGGUAUUUCCUCCCUUCAUCUCAAUCUUGUAAGAUGAGUCGUGGAUAUAGAUAUGAAUUUGUGUCUUCUUCAGGACAUACAUGGCUUUCUCCAUAUAGGCACAUCCGGCAUGCUUGUUUGUAUUCUUACCCGUUAUGCUUGUAAAUUAGUUACCUCACCUACAUCCUGGACAUUAAAUAGGUGCAGGAUCAUUGAUGGUUUUAUUUAUCCUUUAAUGUACGUAGAAUUUUGCCGAAAGUGGUUAUGGGAAAAGAUAUAAGUUAUGGCGUAUUCCAGGGUCAGACUGGCCAGCGAUUGGUCUUAUAGAUAGCUAUUGAGGAGGCUGAUUUACUCACUAUCUAGGAGUUCGGAGGUCAGCUGGUGGCUUUUGGAGUCUCUUGCACUUCAUGAAUUAUACCUGUCACUGCUUGUUGUUUGAACCAUAGUUGUCAAGUUGUUGUUUAGGCAUCCAGGCUCUUGGGUCCAAGGCAACAACACGCCUUGUUAACAUUUCAUGAGUCUACAGGGAUUAUUUAUUUAUUAAUGAAUUUGCUUGCAUUCUAUCCCUUGUUUUGCUUAUUACAUGUUGAUUUUCUCAUCUAAAAUCUUUACUAGCAUGAUCAUAUCAUAUUGUAUUGAUAUGGUUUCUAUAUUGCAUAUAAGCAUAAUUAUAUAAAACUAUCAUUGCUAUAUUACGUAUUGUCAUAAACUGCACAUCUUAGGUCACCUAAUUGCCAUGAAAACUAUGCUUUGAACAUGUUAUCCAUUUGAUAUCCUGAUUGGCUUGAAGAAAGGUAGAGACGAGAGUUUGUGUUGUUUGAGAAGUAUCAUCAUGACCAUGCUUGAAUUUGCAAUUGAUCCUUUUUAUCUUUUGAUUUUGGUGCAUUUUUUACGUUUACCUGUUCUAUUAGAUUUCUAUGCAUGUCAUGCCCUACUCCUAUGCCAUCUUCUUUUGCAUGUAGUGUGUGGAAUUGGGAAGGAGGAAUGACAAAAAUGGGAAGAGAACAUGCAUCUGAGGGAAUGUAAGUGUUCCUCACGAAUGAUAACACGCACUUAAAAGACCACAUACCACCCCUAGUGAGGUGCAGUCUGCAGAGGUUGUUGGCUCCAAGGAUGGUGGAAGGGUGAAAUGAUGUUGAGGCAGGACUUAAAAGCAUGUACUAUUUUACUUGAUAUAUGGUAUGGCAUGAUUGUGAUAGGAACUUGCGAAGUUUGUGACAAUGCUUUUGUUGAUGAGUUAUGUAUGGCAUAAUGGAUUCAUAAAGCUAUGUUCCCUCCCACGAUGUUUCAUUUGUUUGUAUACAGCAUCAAACUAUCUCCUUAUCAGUAAUAUGAUGCACAAACAAGCAUGUAUUAUUAUGUGGUUACGGAAAUGUUGUUGGUUCAAAUCAUGUCUGUUCCCAAAUUCUGACAUACUAUGCUUGCAUCUCAGAUCCGGCUUCAACUAGAGACGUUGCUAGCUGAGAAGGUAUGCUUGGCACAUGAGAACUCUAUCUAUGCAUGUGAGAAUGCUUCUUGAGGGAGAUUGUUAAAUACCACCAGCUCACUAUGUAGGAUGUUGUCCACUUGGAUCAAGGCAUUGAAGAUGUCACAGAAGUUUAUCCCAUUUCAAUUCCCACAAACACCAUUUUGGACUCUUCUCUGAUGGCUACACCCACAACCCCAACCACACCACCACCACCACCUCCUAAGUCCAGUUGUGGACAAUUUGUUCAACCUAUUCCCACACCACUAGUUGCAGAGGUUGUCUGCAGUGCAGUACCACCAGGCUCUACUACACAUGUCCUUGUGGUGGAAUAUCCUAAACAAUCAUCAAAGCCUAGUGUCUGAACAGUCGACUCAUCAGAGGCUACUCUAUCUGUAAAAAUUUUCUUUUAUCAUUUUUUUGUGUAUUUAUGAUUUAUUUUAUUUUAUUUUAUGUGCA